GCACCGGUUGUGCAUGGUGCAUGCACUACUUUGAUGGUCAAGGUAACGGUUGAAAUAUCUAAUGGUGAAUGGGGUUCGAUUCCCCACUGGUGCA